UACGUAGGUGGCAAGCGUUGUCCGGAAUUAUUGGGCGUAAAGCGCGCGCAGGCGGUCCUUUAAGUCGGGGGUGAAAGCCCAGAGCUCAACUCUGGAACUGCCUUCGAAACUAGAGGACUUGGGUACGGGAGAGGUGAGUGGAAUUCCGAGUGUAGAGGUGAAAUUCGUAGAUAUUCGGAAGAACACCAGUGGCGAAGGCGGCUCACUGGCCCGUUACCGACGCUCAGGCGCGACAGCGUGGGGAGCAAACAGG
rnacentral:rRNA from 1 species